rnacentral:rRNA from 1 species
UAAAAAUGAAUCAAAACUUUCAACAACGGAUCUCUUGGUUCUGGCAUCGAUGAAGAACGCAGCGAAAUGCGAUAAGUAAUGUGAAUUGCAGAAUUCAGUGAAUCAUCGAAUCUUUGAACGCACAUUGCGCCCUCUGGUAUUCCAGAGGGCAUGCCUGUUCGAGCGUCAUU